ACAACUGUGCGUUCCCUGGCCUCCAAUUCAAAUUCUGCCACGACUCCGGACUCUUUCAUUAAGGAAGUAUGAGAAUGAGCAAGAAACUUAAAAGACGGUGGAGGAGGAUGAGGAGGAUGAAGGCUAUGGAGGGAAAGAGGCAAUCAGCAGAGAAACUCAGAAUACCCUGCAACAUAAGGACAGAACUGACAGUGACACUACAGGAUCAGGGCCCGUUGCUGAAGAGACUAUGUGGGCAUGUGAGAAAUUAAGACGGACGAAGAAGGGAAAUGUUUCUGCCGGGAAGAACACGUCGUUGCUGAGCUGGACAUAAUAGCUAAAUUAGCCUCUGGUGAUAUGCUAAUUGGACAAAUAACAUCGCCACACUUCAGAAAGAUGAUGUAGCAUGAUAUGGAUGAUUUGGUAUGACUCUGUUGUCAGAGGUUCAUUAGGCUCACAACUGAUAGCAGACAUUAAGACAAUAUAACCGCUCUGUGGCCUGGCUGGGAAGCCACAGUGAGCAUGUUUACAUUUUCCCUCU